UACGUAGGGUGCAAGCGUUGUCCGGAAUUAUUGGGCGUAAAGAGCUCGUAGGCGGUUUGUCGCGUCGGAUGUGAAAUCCCGGGGCUUAACCCCGGGCCUGCAUUCGAUACGGGCUGACUAGAGUUCGGCAGGGGAGACUGGAAUUCCUGGUGUAGCGGUGAAAUGCGCAGAUAUCAGGAGGAACACCGGUGGCGAAGGCGGGUCUCUGGGCCGAUACUGACGCUGAGACGCGAAAGCGUGGGGAGCAAACAGG
rnacentral:rRNA from 1 species